CUUUUCUUGUUAGUUUUUGAAGUAUGGCCUGCCCGCUGACUUUGGUGUUGAAGGGCCGCGGUAUUUUGACCGUGCAAAGGUAGCAUAGUCAUUAGUUCUUUAAUUGUGAUCUGGUAUGAAUGGCUUGACGAGGCAUGGGCUGUCUUAAUUUUGAAUUGCUUAUUGAAUUUGGUCUUUGAGUUAAAAUUCUUAGAUGUUUUUAUGGGACGAGAAGACCCUAUAGAGUUUGACAUUUAUUAUGGUCUCUUUCUGUUUGUGAGGGUUCACUGGGCCAUUUAAUAUGUUUUGUUGGGGUGAUGGGAGGGAUAUAAUUUAACCCCUCCCUUUGUGUUUUUAUAUUUAUUUAUAUUUGUUUGAUCCAUUUAUUUUGAUUGUAAGAUUAAAUUACC
rnacentral:rRNA from 1 species